rnacentral:lncRNA from 1 species
GGAACAGUGGAGUUGAAACGGUACAAGAAAGAUCAUCCAUUUGCUCAGCUCUCGGGAGCUGAUAACAUCAUCGCUUUCACAACCAAGCGGUACAAAGAACAGCCCCUGAUUGUUCGUGGACCUGGUGCUGGUGCUCAAGUCACAGCAGGUGGAAUCUUCAGUGACAUUCUCCGCCUUGCUUUCUAUCUCGGCGCUCCAUCUUAAGUCGCACUUUGUUUCUUUUAGGAACAAAUCUAAUGAUCAAACAAUGUUUCUUAUAAGCUAGCAUCUGUUAUCUGCGUUUCAGAAUUUGAUUCUUAUAGAAGAAAUCAAACUUCAAUGGAAUAAAUCAUAAAACAUCCUUACCUUGGUUUUAAAAGCACACUUUUUGGGCCAUGCGCCAUUAUGGCUAUGAGCAAAACGCCUGAUGCCUCUUGGCAAGGUGACAUCCAUAAAGCGUUUGCCAUGGUGCACAAGGCGAUGCUUUAUAGUUUCUUGGUGCGUAAUAGUCUGUUAGUAUCUUGUUUGUCUUCUCCUCCUUCCUCACCUGGCAGCUAAGUAGCCUUCAGGAACAGUUGUUACAUUUGUGGAGGAUUGUCCUCUUCAGAAGCUUGUUUCUCUUCUUCGUUGCUAUUAUUGUUGUUGUUGGCUUGUUUUGAUGCAUUAGCUACUUUUUCCCAUUUCUUGAGAAUAUAUUGAAGCUUUAAGAUCUCUCUGACCCUGUUUGACUUCUUUGCCUCCAUGGGCGGAACAAAAGAACAAAUUGCCCUAUUCUUUGUGUUGGUAGUGAUGGAGAUAUGGUGUUCAAUUACAAUGAUCAUGAUGACAAUUGUAAGAUGCCCAAGGCUCUAACCAUUUUCUACCACAGAGCCCCCUAUGCGUUUAAAACACACAUAUCUUUAGGGGGAAAAUGAAUAGGAGGAGGUUUUGGCUAGAACUAGAAAUAAAAAGAUGGUUUUAUACAACAAAAACACACACACACUCCACAUAAUUUCAACCCAACCGAAACAAAAAUUUGGCUUCAGAAGCAUUUCUCAAUCUGAAACUUUGGACAAAAACUUGUUCUACUCUGCCUGAAGACUAUAAACUAAGGUUGAAACACUGUUUCCAAACCAAUCUGAGAUCCAAUGCAGUUUAACUUAAAGAUCAUUCUGUGGAGGAUCGGUUGCAUAAUGAUAUAAACAAUCUCAAAGCUAUGCUCCGUGCCAUUUACAUAGGUACAGAUGGUCUUCUGUGUAUAAAGUAAUUGAAUUUGAUUUGUGUAUGUUCUUCUAAAAUAUUUGUUCUCUUGUAUCUCUCUAGCUGGUCAUGCAACAGAAUCUUUCUCGGACUUCGUUGUGGGUCACGGAGAAUUGUGGUCUGCUCAGAUGUUAGCUGCUGUUGUGAGAAAGGUAUGACUGUCAUAUAUGAUAUGCUGCUUGUAAGUCCUAAGAGGGAUGAACUUCUAUUUAUCUUCUCAUCAUAUGCUUGUGUUUGUUUUGAUCAUAGAGUGGAUUGGACUGCACAUGGAUGGAUGCAAGGGAUGUCCUAGUUGUUGUUCCUAAUAGCUCUAGUCAAGUUGAUCCUGACUUUGCGGAAUCAGAAAAGAGAUUGGAAAAGUGGUUUUCUCAGAACUCGGCGGCAAAGAUUAUCAUCGCAACUGGAUUCAUAGCCAGUACACCGGAGAACAUUCCAACGACUCUCAAGAGGGAUGGGAGUGACUUCUCUGCAGCUAUAAUGGGUGCUCUGUUUAGAUCUCACCAACUCACAAUCUGGACAGAUGUUGAUGGUGUAUACAGUGCAGAUCCAAGAAAAGGUAUGUGGAAACCAUUGCGAUUUGCAAGAUAAGGACUAGUUUUUCAGCCGUGACACCCUGUGCUCCUUAGUUUCCUUUCUAUUGUUAUGCUGACAAAUAUGGUUAUCAUAUGUAGUUAGUGACGCUGUUAUACUGAAGACUCUUUCUUAUCAAGAGGCCUGGGAAAUGGUAAAUUGCAACCUCGUACACUUGUUUUUGAUGCCUAUAAUCAUUGUUUUACACCCUAACUUUCGUGUUAAUGUGCCUGUGCAGUCUUACUUUGGGGCUAACGUUUUACAUCCUAGGACCAUCAUUCCAGUUAUGAAAUAUGACAUUCCAAUUGUAAUAAGGAAUAUUUUCAACCUCUCUGCCCCUGGGACAAUGAUAUGUCGGCAGAUUGAAGAUGAAGAUGGAUAUAAACUAGACGCUCCUGUCAAAGGGUUUGCGACGAUUGACAAUUUGGCUCUUGUGAAUGUGGAAGGGUAAGUUGAUUGUAGAUAUUGUGCUACACAGUCAGUGCUUAUUAUGUUUCUUAUACAAACUUUGCGUUCUCUUUGCAGAACUGGAAUGGCUGGUGUUCCUGGUACUGCAAGUGCUAUCUUUUCUGCUGUCAAGGAAGUUGGAGCCAAUGUGAUUAUGAUUUCACAGGUCUGUGGAUACUCUAAUUCAGCUUUCUGGUACAUUUAUGGUUUUGAAUUCCCUUGUUAGUUGUGGGUUCUUAGUAGGAUUGCAUAAUGGCAGGCUAGUAGCGAGCAUUCUGUGUGCUUUGCUGUACCUGAGAAGGAAGUUAAAGCCGUUUCUGAAGCAUUGAACUCACGAUUUCGUCAAGCUUUAGCUGGUGGACGCCUUUCCCAGGUGCCCUAAAUCUCUGUGUAUUUUCAGAAGAUAGCAACUUGCUAUUCCUUCAACCUUCGUUGUAGCAUGUUCAGGGCCCUAUAGAAAGCAGCAGGAUCUUGUUUAUGCAUCACCUACUUUUCUCAAACUGUGGCUUUUCUUUUCAGAUUGAAAUUAUCCCUAAUUGUAGCAUCUUAGCAGCAGUUGGCCAGAAAAUGGCGAGCACCCCUGGCGUUUCUGCCACCUUUUUCAAUGCGCUGGCAAAGGUAAAUUAAGUGUGGUGUUUGUAGAACAUCCAUCUCUCUGCCAAGAAGCUUUGUUGAUACAAUGCUUGCCCUAAUACCUGCAGGCCAAUAUCAACAUCCGUGCUAUAGCUCAAGGUUGCUCCGAGUUCAACAUUACAGUGGUCGUCAAACGUGAAGAUUGCAUUAGAGCAUUAAGAGCAGUGCAUUCAAGAUUUUACCUUUCGAGAACCACAUUGGCAGUGGGAAUCGUAGGACCGGGUUUAAUCGGUGGAACCUUACUUGAUCAGAUUAGAGAUCAGGUGAGUAGCUGUGUGAGACUAUAGUGGCAUACUUAUCAAGGUUCAAGCCAACUCAUCUUUCAAAAUAAUUUUACAGGCUGCAGUGCUAAAAGAAGAGUUUAAGAUUGACUUGCGUGUUAUAGGGAUCACUGGCUCAAGUAAAAUGUUGCUGAGUGAAUCGUAAGUCAAUGAACUUGUUAGAGUGCUUGUAGGUGAGUUGCCUUACUGCUUUUUCCUUACACAAUCAUAAUCUUCUAGGGGAAUCGACUUAUCAAGAUGGAGAGAACUUAUGAAGGAAGAGGGAGAGUCGGCUAACAUUGAAAAGUUCACCCAAUAUGUGAAGGGAAAUCAUUUCAUUCCAAACUCUGUUAUCGUUGAUUGUACGGCUGAUGCUGAUAUUGCAAGCAGUUACUACGACUGGUUGCUGAGAGGAAUUCAUGUGGUCACCCCGAACAAGAAGGCUAACUCAGGACCACUUGAUCAGGUAAGUGUUAGAUAUUGAUUAAAUCACUGUUCGAUAGGAAGCUACAGAUCUGUUCUUGCUGAGGUUCAAUGGUUCGAUGAUCAGAGAGACUAGUUGGUAACACUCUCCCCUGUGAAUGCAGUAUCUAAAGAUAAGAGAUCUUCAAAGAAAAUCGUACACACAUUACUUCUAUGAAGCAACCGUUGGAGCUGGUCUUCCAAUUAUCAGCACUUUACGUGGUCUUCUCGAGACAGGGGAUAAAAUACUGCGCAUUGAGGGAAUUUUCAGGUAUCUCCUGUUCGGCUUGGUACCGCAACAAGUUGUUCAGAUACAAGAGAAUAUGCUGGCUUUGUCGUUUUUUUCACCUUCAACUAAACUCUUGCUUUGAUGCCUUGCUGCAGUGGGACUUUAAGUUACCUUUUCAACAAUUUUGUGGGCAACAGAAGCUUCAGUGAUGUUGUAGCAGAAGCAAAGCAGGCAGGUUUCACAGAGCCAGAUCCACGAGAUGAUCUAUCUGGAACAGAUGUCGCCAGAAAAGUAGGGUUUCUUGUCCUCAAAUCUAGUCAAUGCACCUAUGUUGGACCAAUUAAAUAAUAGGGGAUUUUCUUGUAUAUGAUACUUCUUCAGGUGACGAUUCUUGCAAGAGAAUCAGGACUAAAACUGGAUCUUGACAGCCUUCCAGUCCAGAGUCUUGUGCCAAAGCCUCUACAAGUAAGUCUCUGUAUAAUCACACAAUAAACCCAUAAGGACAAUCCUUUGGACGUAAUCAAUAUUCCAUUGUUGAUCACAGGCUUGUGCAUCAGCAGAAGAGUUCAUGCAAAAGCUACCUCAGUUUGACGAGGAAUUGUCCAAACAAAGACAAGAGGCUGAAGCAGCAGGAGAGGUAAGUAGUGCCUCCUAACAAAACUCAUUUUAAAACACCAAUAUGCACCAUCUCGAAAAGAACUCAUUCCCGAAUGUAUUGUGUUGUGUCUGUUUUAUAGGUAUUGAGGUACGUCGGAGUUGUUGAUGCGGUAGCAAAAAAGGGAACAGUGGAGUUGAAACGGUACAAGAAAGAUCAUCCGUUUGCUCAGCUCUCGGGUGCUGAUAACAUCAUCGCUUUCACAACCAAGCGGUACAAAGAACAGCCUUUGAUUGUUCGUGGACCUGGUGCUGGUGCUCAAGUCACUGCCGGUGGAAUCUUCAGUGACAUUCUCCGCCUUGCUUUCUAUCUAGGCGCUCCGUCUUAAGUCACGCUUUGUUUCUUUUAGGAACAAAUCUAAUGAUCAAAA